AUAUCAAUAAGCGGAGGAAAAGAAACUAACAAGGAUUCCCCCAGUAACGGCGAGUGAAGAGGGAACAGCCCAAAUUUGUAAUCUGGCCUUUUCAAGGUCCGAGUUGUAAUCUCGAGAACUGUUUUCCGUGCUGGACCACGUACAAGUCUGUUGGAAUGCAGCUUCAUAGAGGGUGAGAAUCCCGUACAUGACGUGGACUACCAGUGCUCUGUGAUACAGUCUCUAAGAGUCGAGUUGUUUGGGAAUGCAGCUCAAAUAGGGUGGUAAAUUCCAUCUAAGGCUAAAUAUUGGCAAGAGACCGAUAGCGCACAAGUA
rnacentral:rRNA from 1 species